CCUACGGGAGGCAGCAGUGAGGAAUAUUGGUCAAUGGACGAGAGUCUGAACCAGCCAAGCCGCGUGAAGGAGGACUGUCCAAUGGGUUGUAAACUUCUUUUAUCAAGGAAUAAAACGAGGCACGUGUGCCUUUUUGCAUGUACUUUAUGAAAAAGGAUCGGCUAACUCCGUGCCAGCAGCCGCGGUAAUACGGAGGAUCCGAGCGUUAUCCGGAUUUCUUGGGUUUAAAGGGAGCGUAGAUGGGUUGUUAAGUCAGUUGUGAAAGUUUGCGGCUCAACCGUAAACUUGCAUUUGAAACUGGCAGUCUUGAGUACAGGAGAGGUAGGCGGAAUUCGUGGUGUAGCGGUGAAAUGCUUAGAUAUCACGAAGAACCCCGAUUGCGAAGGCAGCUUAC
rnacentral:rRNA from 1 species